AUGGCCUGGACCCCUCUCCUGCUGCCCCUGCUCACUCUCUGCACAGGCUCUGUGGCCUCCUAUGAGCUGACCCAGUCGGGCUCUUUAUCAGUGGCCCUGGGAGAGACAGCCAGCAUCACCUGCACUGGAGAAUUACUGGAUAAAAGAUAUACCCACUGGUACCAGCAGAAGCCUGGCCAGGCCCCUGUGCAGGUCAUUUAUAAGGAUAGCGAGAGGCCCUCAGGGAUCCCUGACCGGUUCUCAGGCUCCAGCUCCGGGAAGACAGCCACCCUGACCAUCAGUGGGGCCCAGGCCGAGGAUGAGGCUGACUAUUUCUGCCUGUCUAGCCCCAGCGAAGGACAUUUCUCACAGUGA